AUUGAACGCUGGCGGCAUGCUUUACACAUGCAAGUCGAACGGUAACAGGCCGCAAGGUGCUGACGAGUGGCGAACGGGUGAGUAAUGCAUCGGAACGUGCCCAGUCGUGGGGGAUAACGCAGCGAAAGCUGUGCUAAUACCGCAUACGAUCUAUGGAUGAAAGCGGGGGACCGUAAGGCCUCGCGCGAUUGGAGCGGCCGAUGUCAGAUUAGGUAGUUGGUGGGGUAAAGGCCCACCAAGCCAACGAUCUGUAGCUGGUCUGAGAGGACGACCAGCCACACGGGGACUGAGACACGGCCCAGACUCCUACGGUAGGCAGCAGUGGGGAAUUUUGGACAAUGGGCGCAAGCCUGAUCCAGCAAUGCCGCGUGCAGGAAGAAGGCCUUCGGGUUGUAAACUGCUUUUGUACGGAACGAAACGGCCUGGGUUAAUACCCUGGGCUAAUGACGGUACCGUAAGAAUAAGCACCGGCUAACUACGUGCCAGCCGCCGCCGUAACAC
rnacentral:rRNA from 1 species